rnacentral:rRNA from 1 species
ACGGAGGGAGCAAGCGUUGUUCGGAAUUACUGGGCGUAAAGCGCAUGUAGGCGGCCCAACAAGUCGAAUGUGAAAUCCCGGAGCUCAACUCCGGAACUGCAUACGAUACUGUUGGGCUCGAGUCUCGGAGAGGAUGGCGGAAUUUCCGGUGUAGAGGUGAAAUUCGUAGAUAUCGGAAGGAACACCAGUGGCGAAGGCGGCCGUCUGGACGAUGACUGACGCUGAGAUGCGAAAGCGUGGGGAGCAAACAGGAUUAGAUACCCUGGUAGUCCACGCCGUAAACGUUGGGUGCUAGACGUCGGGGGUAUUGACCCCCUCGGUGUCGAAGCUAACGCAUUAAGCACCCCGCCUGGGGAGUACGGCCGCAAGGCUA